rnacentral:ncRNA from 2 species
UACGGACAAGGGGAAUCCGACUGUU